GGCAUGGUGGCUCAGUGGGUUAGAGCGCCCGCGUCAUGAACGGGAGGUCGUGAGUUCGAACCCCGGCCGAGUCA
rnacentral:tRNA from 1 species